UACCAGCACCCCGAGUGGUCGGGACGUUUAUUGGGCCUAAAGCAUCCGUAGCCGGUUCUACAAGUCUUCCGUUAAAUCCACCUGCUUAACAGAUGGGCUGCGGAAGAUACUAUGGAGCUAGGAGGCGGGAGAGGCAAGCGGUACUCGAUGGGUAGGGGUAAAAUCCGUUGAUCCAUUGAAGACCACCAGUGGCGAAGGCGGCUUGCCAGAACGCGCUCGACGGUGAGGGAUGAAAGCUGGGGGGAGCAAACCGGG
rnacentral:rRNA from 1 species